UACGAAGGGGGGCUAGCGUUGUUCGGAAUUACUGGGCGUAAAGCGCACGUAGGCGGAUCGAUCAGUCGGGGGUGAAAUCCCGAGGCUCAACCUCGGAACUGCCUUCGAUACUGCGGGUCUCGAGUCCGGGAGAGGUGAGUGGAAUUCCUAGUGUAGAGGUGAAAUUCGUAGAUAUUAGGAAGAACACCAGUGGCGAAAGGCGGCUCACUGGCCCGGUACUGACGCUGAGGCGCGAAAGCGUGGGGAGCAAACAGG
rnacentral:rRNA from 1 species